rnacentral:rRNA from 1 species
GAUGAACGCUAGCGGCAGGCUUAAUACAUGCAAGUCGUGGGGCAGCAGGGUUGUAGCAAUACAAUCGCUGGCGACCGGCAAACGGGUGCGUAACACGUACGCAACCUUCCCGUUACUGUGGCAUAGCCCAGGGAAACUUGGAUUAAUACCACAUACUAUAUUGAGGGGGCAUCCCUUUGAUAUCAAAGCUUCGGCGGUAACGGAUGGGCGUGCGGUUGAUUAGGUAGGUGGCGGGGUAACGGCCCACCAAGCCUACGAUCAAUAGCUGAUGUGAGAGCAUGAUCAGCCACACGGGCACUGAGACACGGGCCCGACUCCUACGGGAGGUAGCAGUAAGGAAUAUUGGGCAAUGGACGAAAGUCUGACCCAGCCAUGCCGCGUGAAGGAUUAAGGUCCUCUGGAUUGUAAACUUCUUCUCUCUGGGGCGAAAACCAGCUAUUCUUAGCUAUUUGACAGUACCAGAGGAAUAAGCACCGGCUAACUCCGUGCCAGCAGCCGCAGUAA